rnacentral:rRNA from 1 species
AUGGACCAAUCCAUCCCUUUUUCUCGUGCAUAUGCAUCGGACUCCGAUGAUGAUGGGCCCGAUGAAGAAGUUGAUGAGGAGGGGUUCACGCCCAAGGAGGCCCAAGCAUUUAAGAAGGUAUUCGGGCGGGAUCACCAGACACCAUUGUUCAAGGAUCUUAGUCUCGCGGAUGAAGCCGUUGUAGAUGGUGGCAAAUGUAUAUCUCUUGAAGCUAGGCCAAGUUCUCAC